rnacentral:tRNA from 1 species
UCCCCUGUGGUGUAAUGGCAGCACUAGGGUUUUUGGUACCCUAUGUCCGGGUUCGAGUCCUGGCAGGGGAGCUAUGCGUCGCGGGUCCUGACCUCCA